UUGCUUCAGCAGCACAUAUACUAAAAUUGGGACGAUAGAGAGAAAACUUGCACGGCUUCUGCACAAAGAAUAACACAAAUUCAUGAAGCAGUCCAUUUUUAU